UUUCACUUGAAGUUCGAGCCGUCGUAAACUGGAGUGGAAAAAAAGAAAGGACAAACCCCAAAAGCAUAAGUUACAGGGAAUGAAAGUUACUGAAGCAAUUUUUACUGGAAUUCGCCAUGCGAAAGAGUUUGCUCAAGUUACAGACAAUGCACUUAUGAAGGAGACCCGUAAUGCUGUGAAGCAUGCUGCAGAAACUGUACGGAAUAAGACGGGAAUUGUCCCACAGGAGCCUGGUUCUGACAGCAAUGAUGAGUAACGCGACCCAAGGUCAUUGGUGUAGAAGAAAAUCAGCUUGUACACCUUUCCAAAUUAACUGUCCAUCAAAACAAUCAACCAAGAAAAGUUCAAGUACCUGGCCUUGCUCAAGUUGCAUUUAAUGCCUCCUUCCGGGUGUCUUUUUGGUUCUCGAUCUCGGAUUCCAUAUUCAAGAGGAAUAUGAUGUUCAACGUCUAUGUCGUAUUGAAUUGCGCAACAACGUUGAUACCGAAGAAACUGAAGGAUUAGAAGAGGUAGUCGAGUUUUUCAUCAAAGAGGAGGCGACAUUCAUCGAGAAGUAGUUGCCAAUACUAUCAACGAUCAACACAAAAUCUUCUUACGUCAUACAUCUGCAAUUUAAGGAAACGCUUCUUGAGUUGAAGUCCAUGCGCGUAUUCUACCGAUUUAUUGUGGAUUUGUUGCGUAUAAUUGAAAUACAAACAUUUAAUCGA